rnacentral:rRNA from 1 species
GGCAGAAGCUCAAAUUUGAAAUCCGGCGCCUGCGGCGUCCGAGUUGUAAUUUGGAGAGGCACUCGCGGGACGGGUCCGGCCUAUGUUCCUUGGAACAGGGCGUCACAGAGGGUGAGAAUCCCGUUCGUGGUUGGGCGCCCGAUCCCAGCACGCGCUGCCUUCUACGAGUCGAGUUGUUUGGGAAUGCAGCUCAAAAUGGGUGGUAAAUUUCAUCUAAAGCUAAAUACCGGCGAGAGACCGAUAGCGCACAAGUAGAGUGAUCGAAAGAUGAAAAGCACUUUGAAAAUAGAGUCAAACAGUACGUGAAAUUGUUGAAAGGGAAGCGCUUGAGACCAGACUCAGCCGUCGACAAACAACCGUCCUUCUGGACGCUGCACUUGUCCUCGGCUGGGCCAGCAUCAGUUGGGACGGCGGGAUAAAGGCCUGGGGAAUGUGACUCCCCUCGGGAGUGUUAUAGCCCCGGGCGCCAUGCCGCCCGUCACGACUGUGGACCGCGCUACGGCUAGGAUGCUGGCGUAAUGGUCUCCAGCGGCCCGUCUUGA